rnacentral:tRNA from 2 species
GCGGAUGUGGCGGAAUUGGCAGACGCACCAGAUUUAGGCUCUGGCGAGUAACAUCGUGGGGGUUCAAGUCCCUUCAUCCGCA